AUGAAAACACCACUUGAGCUCUUGCUGAAUGAAGUUCCUGAUUAUACGUUUCUCAAGGUCUUUGGGUGUGCAUGUUGGCCACAUCUUCGUCCGUAUAACCAACACAAGUUGGAGUUUCGGUCUAAACAGUGCGUGUUUCUCGGUUGUAGUUCUCUUCGUAAAGGGUACAAGUGUCUUCAUGUUCCCUCGAACCGCGUCUAUAUCUCACGUAAUAUGGUGUUUGAUGAGAAUGUUUUUCCUUUUUCCGCACUUCCGGUCACCUCCACCACUCUCAUUGCACCUGAGAAAUCUGCUUUACCUUUGGCUGAUCAAUUUGUUAAUGCUGCAUAUACCCCCUUGUUGCUACCUAACCAUGGUGCAGGUACUGGGCGCGGAGCACGCCUCGAGCUUCUGGAUGAGCAGCUGCCCGCGUCCUCUCGGAUGUCCGCUGAGCCCGCUCGCGACGUCACUCCGUCACCUGGCCUGCUGACGGGGCUGGCCGAGCUAGGCACUACAGGGCUUCCCAACGCGCCGGCCGAGCCGACAUCCUCGCCCACGCUACGCCUGCGCCGGCGUCCUCGCCUGCGCCGGUGUCCCCGCUCGUGUCGGCCGAGCGGGCGUCCUCGCCGGGCCUGUCACCUGGUGUGA
rnacentral:rRNA from 1 species